UACGUAGGGGGCAAGCGUUGUCCGGAAUUAUUGGGCGUAAAGAGCUCGUAGGCGGCUUGUUGCGUCGGCUGUGAAAACCCAUGGCUCAACCGUGGGCUUGCAGCCGAUACGGGCAGGCUAGAGUUCGGUAGGGGAGACUGGAAUUCCUGGUGUAGCGGUGAAAUGCGCAGAUAUCAGGAGGAACACCGGUGGCGAAGGCGGGUCUCUGGGCCGAUACUGACGCUGAUGAGCGAAAGCGUGGGGAGCAAACAGG
rnacentral:rRNA from 1 species